AGCCCGAGCCCGGGACUUGGAGCGUCUGGUUCCGUUCCUCCUUUCUCCACCCCCCCGGUCCGGCUUUUAACUUUUUCUUCGUCUUGGAUUUAUCACCCGGCUCUGGACCUUCGCUUGACUGGACUUCCUUUUGGACUGUUCGCCUGAACCACGCCCCCCGGAGCGCUUUCGUCACGCCCCCCCGGUUCCUCGUCUCCCCCCUCCGCGCUCUGCCCACGUACAAGCCGAAACCAGCAGACUCAGCACAAUCGACAGGCUCUGUGCCGUGUUAUUGACUCCCAGCGCUGGAGACGGCGCUUUCCGGAGCUCUCUGCACGGCUCGCACCACACUGCAGCUGGGACACUUCCUGACGCCUGCCAGAGCCAGGCAUGCAGAUCUCCAGCCUCAGACUGAGAGACAAAUGAGAUGUCAGUUGGACACGAUUAGCCAAGGAGGCCAGAAGCAAGGCUCUGGGGUCGAGCAUUGACGGAGCGCAGGUUCAGAGGUCUAACAGAAUGAAGGAACAAGUCUUGCAGCAGGCUGGCAGAACUAGACAGCCUACCAUAUGAAGAAAAACACAGCUUUAUUUUCAGCACAAGGAACUCCAGAAAUGUUUUUUUUUUAUUUCAAAUUAUUUUAUGGUGUGUUUUUAAAGAUGGUCAGCGAAAAAGAGGAGAUGGAGAUUGAUAUGGAUACUAGUUACACACUGAUCGGGGCUUACAGUCCAGAAUUCUGCUACACAUAAGAUCACAGCCACUGGCCAUUCAGCAGAUCACAUCAUGUGCUAAUUUACUUUUCAAUGUUCCUUUAUAUAUUGUAACACGUUGUGAAAGCAGUUAAAAGUCACAGGGCUAAAUCAAGUGCAGUCAAGUGCAAAUUCUCCUGUUCGACGUUGUAAUCUCAGGUUCUGCCAUUUCAGUGUGCCAGUCUCACACCUGGGUUUGGGAGGAAGUAUGAAGGACGACAAGACUUCAGACAGUUUCUUCCUGGUUUCUUUCUUUACAAAACCGCCUCUUUCCUCACAGCCACAGAAAUGUUUUCUGCACAAUGUUUUCUUUUUCUCAAGGGUUGCAGUAUUUUUCUAUAUGAUUAAACAGGAGACACGACCCUGCAUUCUUCUCAGUCACCAAAAGCACUUUCUCACAGACUUUCUAAUGAGCUGUGCAGUCGAUGAUGCUCAUCAGAAAAGAAUCUGAUCCAUUGAGUUGCUCAGUUGUCAGUACAUUUUAUGAUGCAAAACCUUUUUAUGGCAAUUUUCCAUCCACAGUACCAAGAAAUUCCAGUAAAUGUACUUAUAUAUAGCAUUUUUGUGGUUACAGUUCCACUUGUGUGUGAUUUCUCCAUCUAUAUUUCAUCUUACAGUACAAAAUGUAUAGCAGUGUUGAAAUUCCUUCACCUCUCUGCUCCCUUCUGAUGCCUAUAAAAUCUACCACAGCUCUUGUUCAUAGUCCCAUCGUGCUCAUUUACUAUUCAAUACGCUCAUUCUACUGUAGGGACCGUCAGUAUUUUGGAAACAGCAGCAUGGAACAUAUUUCAGUUUUAGACAUUAAAUACAAAAUCCAAAGCUUAAUGAGAUAGAGAUAGAACGGGAAGUGUAUUACGGGAGUAAUGAGCAAUAAAUCUGUUAUAUAUUAUUUAUCUUCAUAAAGUUUUUUUCACAAUUAUUAAAAGUUUCCUUUCUUUGUUCAGAGUAUUUGUUCAGAAUGUUCUUUUCACAUAAAUAAUGUCCAGAAUGCCAAUACUGAGUGUCCAGUGUCUUUCUAGAGUGACAAAUAAUUACUUCAUUUCGUGUUUUACACUGCUGCUGACUUGUUUAUGUGUCAGAAGCACACAGAGGUACAACACCACAUUUCAGGACAUUCUGGCUAUGCUCUGAGGGAUGAGCAACUCGUGAAGUGAGAGGAUAUGUCAGCCAUAAUUUUUGUUUGGGCGUGGGGAUGCCAGACUUCUCUGAAGGAUCUCUGACAGGACUAUGGAGUGCUUGGUCGAACAAUACAGUCAACUCAUGACCUGUGAGAGACAUGAUUGGGCCCAAAACGCAAGCCAGCAAUUCAGUCAAGCUGAAUGUAUUUAAUGUCCCCUGAUAUAAAUAAUAGUUUUGGGAACUGACAAUUAUUUUUCCUAGCUCUCCAAACCACAGUCACCCACUGUUAAUCAUCUUA